CACGCCGUAAACGAUGAGUGCUAGAUGUUGGAGGUAUUCACCCCUUCAGUGUCGAAGCUAACGCAUUAAGCACUCCGCCUGGGGAGUACGGCCGCAAGGUUAAAACUCAAAGGAAUUGACGGGGGCCCGCACAAGCGGUGGAGUAUGUGGUUUAAUUCGACGCAACGCGCAGAACCUUACCCAGUCUUGACAUCCAAGGAGCCUGUAUGAAAGUACGGGGUGCCCCCUCACGGGGGAGCCUUGAGACAGGUGC
rnacentral:rRNA from 1 species